rnacentral:rRNA from 2 species
UCCGUGUUCGAAAGGGAAACAGCCCAGACCACCAGCUAAGGUCCCAAAAUAUAUGUUAAGUGGAAAAGGAUGUGGCGUUGCCCAGACAACUAGGAUGUUGGCUUAGAAGCAGCCAUCAUUUAAAGAGUGCGUAAUAGCUCACUAGUCGAGUGACACUGCGCCGAAAAUGUACCGGGGCUAAACAUAUUACCGAAGCUGUGGAUUGUCCUUUGGACAAUGGUAGGAGAGCGUUCUAAGGGCGUUGAAGCAUGAUCGUAAGGACAUGUGGAGCGCUUAGAAGUGAGAAUGCCGGUGUGAGUAGCGAAAGACGGGUGAGAAUCCCGUCCACCGAUUGACUAAGGUUUCCAGAGGAAGGCUCGUCCGCUCUGGGUUAGUCGGGUCCUAAGCUGAGGCCGACAGGCGUAGGCGAUGGAUAACAGGUUGAUAUUCCUGUACCACCUAUGAUCGUUUUAAUCGAUGGGGGGACGCAGUAGGAUAGGCGAAGCGUGCGAUUGGAUUGCACGUCUAAGCAGUAAGGCUGAGUAUUAGGCAAAUCCGGUACUCGUUGAGGCUGAGCUGUGAUGGGGAGAAGACAUUGUGUCUUCGAGUCGUUGAUUUCACACUGCCGAGAAAAGCCUCUAGAUAGAAAAUAGGUGCCCGUACCGCAAACCGACACAGGUAGUCAAGAUGAGAAUUCUAAGGUGAGCGAGCGAACUCUCGUUAAGGAA